rnacentral:rRNA from 1 species
GUUUGAUCAUGGCUCAGGAUGAACGCUGGCGGCGUGCCUAACACAUGCAAGUCGAGCGAUUCUCUUCGGAGAAGAGCGGCGGACGGGUGAGUAACGCGUGGGUAACCUGCCCUGUACACACGGAUAACAUACCGAAAGGUAUGCUAAUACGAGAUAAUAUACUUUUAUCGCAUGGUAGAAGUAUCAAGGCUUUUGCGGUACAGGAUGGACCCGCGUCUGAUUAGCUAGUUGGUAAGGUAACGGCUUACCAAGGCGACGAUCAGUAGCCGACCUGAGAGGGUGAUCGGCCACAUUGGAACUGAGACACGGUCCAAACUCCUACGGGAGGCAGCAGUGGGGAAUAUUGCACAAUGGGCGAAAGCCUGAUGCAGCAACGCCGCGUGAGCGAUGAAGGCCUUCGGGUCGUAAAGCUCUGUCCUCAAGGAAGAUAAUGACGGUACUCGAGGAGGAAGCCCCGGCUAACUACGUG